UAACACGUGGGUAACCUGCCUUAUAGUGGGGGGAUAGCCUUUCGAAAGGAAGAUUAAUACCGCAUAAGAUUGUAGUAUCGCAUGAUAUAGCAAUUAAAGGAGCAAUUCGCCAUAAGAUGGACCCGCGUCGCAUUAGCUAGUUGGUGAGGUAAUGGCUCACCAAGGCGACGAUGCGUAGCCGACCUGAGAGGGUGAUCGGCCACAUUGGGACUGAGACACGGCCCAGACUCCUACGGGAGGCAGCAUG
rnacentral:rRNA from 1 species